rnacentral:rRNA from 1 species
GAUGAACGCUGGCGGUAUGCCUAAUACAUGCAAGUCGAACGAACACACAAUGAGAUCUUUCUCUUACCGUUAGCGGCUGACGGGCGAGUAAGACGUACAUCACCUUCUUCUUUUUCUUGGAUGAUAACGUGAAAACGCUGACACUACUACCUCAUACGUCCUACGGCUGAAAGCAAUGGAUCUUCAGGGCUUUGCCGUUUCUAUUAGAUGGUUCCGCGUUGGCUUGUCUAGUGGGUAAGGUAACGGCUUACCAAGGCAACGUUGCUUGGCCGACCUGAGAGGGGGAUCGGCCAAACUGGAACUGAGGCACGGUCCAGACUCCUACGGGAGGCAGCAGUAGGGAAUCUGCCGCAAUGGGCGAAAGCUUGACGGAGCAACGCCGCGUGAGUGAUGAAGGUCUUCGGAUCGUAAAACUCUGUUAUUAGGGAAGAACAAAUGUGUAAGUAACUAUGCACGUCUUGACGGUACCAAAUCAGAAAGCCACGGCUAACUACGU